rnacentral:tRNA from 1 species
GGUCUCGUAGCUCAGAUGGUUAGAGCAUUGGCUGUACUAGAGCCUUCGCCCUGCCACCAUGGGUUCGAAUCCCACCAAGGCUG